UACGUAGGGGGCGAGCGUUGUCCGGAUUUACUGGGCGUAAAGGGCAUGCAGGCGGUCAGACGCGUUUUGUGUGACAGCGGAGGGCUUCACUCUCCGAGCAUACGAAAGACGGUGUGACUUGAGGGCUCGAGAGGGACACGGAAUUCCGGGUGGAGUGGUGAAAUGCGUAGAGAUCCGGAGGAACCCCGAAGGCGAAGGCAGUGUCCUGGCGAGUAUCCUGACGCUGAGGUGCGAAAGCCAGGGGAGCGAACGGG
rnacentral:rRNA from 1 species